rnacentral:misc_RNA from 1 species
AACGCAUAUGGCACCCGAGACUUCGGUCGAGGGUAUGUCUGCCUCAGAGUCGGCGUAACACAACUCUCCUCCUGGCAACGCAACGCAAUGCAUUGUCGGGCAGGGGGAACUGACCUUCCCGCUCCGCUGGCGCGGGUUGGUCGAAGGUGAGAAACGGGUGUACCCGGCCGGAUAGAGUCCCCGGGAGCACGAUUUGGUGGAAGGAUCUCCGUAUCCGCACUUCUCUGUCGUGUGAGACCGUGGGAGGACCCCGCGCCACCGUCACCCGCCUUGCAGGAAAGGCUCCUCUCUUCCUUGGCUCUUGAGCCCUUGCCCUCACCUCACCUCACGGAUGAGAUUGGGUAUAGGCGCGAAAGACCAACCGGAGGAAAUAAGGGCCCAAGUCAAUUUUCCGACCUGAGUUCAGGCAAGAUCACCCGCUGAACUUAA